AAUAUUGGACAAUGGGCGCAAGCCUGAUCCAGCAAUGCCGCGUGGGUGAAGACGGCCUGCGGGUUGUAAAGCCCUUUAGGCGGGGAAGAACGGCCGGGCGCGAAUAGCGCGCGGCUCUGACGUUACCCGCAGAAUAAGCACCGGCUAACUCCGUGCCAGCAGCCGCGGUAAUACGGAGGGUGCGAGCGUUAAUCGGAAUUACUGGGCGUAAAGCGUGCGUAGGCGGUUCGGUCAGUCAGCCGUGAAAGCCCCGGGCUCAACCUGGGAACGGCGGUUGAGACGGCCGGACUAGAGUGGGCUAGAGGAUCGUGGAAUUCCCGGUGUAGCGGUGAAAUGCGUAGAGAUCGGGAGGAACACCGAUGGCGAAGGCAGCGGUCUGGGGCCACACUGACGCUGAGGCACGAAAGCGUGGGGAGCAAACAGGAUUAGAUACCCUGGUAGUCCACGCGGUAAACGAUGAGCACUAGACGUCGGGUGGGUGACCGUCCGGUGUCGCAGCUAACGCGCUAAGUGCUCCG
rnacentral:rRNA from 1 species